GAUGAACGCUGGCGGCGUGCCUAAUACAUGCAAGUCGAGCGAACAGACGAGGAGCUUGCUCCUCUGACGUUAGCGGCGGACGGGUGAGUAACACGUGGAUAACCUACCUAUAAGACUGGGAUAACUUCGGGAAACCGGAGCUAAUACCGGAUAAUAUAUUGAACCGCAUGGUUCAAUAGUGAAAGACGGUUUUGCUGUCACUUAUAGAUGGAUCCGCGCCGCAUUAGCUAGUUGGUAAGGUAACGGCUUACCAAGGCGACGAUGCGUAGCCGACCUGAGAGGGUGAUCGGCCACACUGGAACUGAGACACGGUCCAGACUCCUACGGGAGGCAGCAGUAAGGAAUCUUCCGCAAUGGGCGAAAGCCUGACGGAGCAACGCCGCGUGAGUGAUGAAGGUCUUCGGAUCGUAAAACUCUGUUAUUAGGGAAGAACAAGUGUGUAAGUAACUAUGCACGUCUUGACGGUACCUAAUCAGAAAGCCACGGCUAACUACGUG
rnacentral:rRNA from 1 species